CUACCCUUGACAUGGAUGGAAUCCUUGAGAGAUUGAGGAGUGCCCGAAAGGGAACCAUUACACAGGUGCUGCAUGGCUGUCGUCAGCUCGUGUCGUGAGAUGUUGGGUUAAGUCCCGCAACGAGCGCAACCCUUGUCAUUAGUUGCUACGAAAGGGCACUCUAAUGAGACUGCCGGUGACAAACCGGAGGAAGGUGGGGAUGACGUCAAGUCCUCAUGGCCCUUAUGGGUAGGGCCUCACACGUCAUACAAUGGUACAUACAGAGGGCCGCCAACCCGCGAGGGGGAGCUAAUCCCAGAAAGUGUAUCGUAGUCCGGAUUGUAGUCUGCAACUCGACUACAUGAAGUUGGAAUCGCUAGUAAUCGCGGAUCAGCAUGUCGCGGUGAAUACGUUCCC
rnacentral:rRNA from 1 species